GAUACCCCAGGUCAGGCGGGGCUACCCGCUGAGUUUAAGCAUAUCAA
rnacentral:rRNA from 1 species